rnacentral:rRNA from 1 species
UGGGGAAUAUUGCGCAAUGGAGGCAACUCUGACGCAGCCAUGCCGCGUGUGUGAAGAAGGCCCUCGGGUUGUAAAGCACUUUCAAUUGGGAGAAAAAGCUUGUCGUUAAUAGCGGCAAGCCUUGAUGUUACCUUUAGAAGAAGCACCGGCUAACUCCGUGCCAGCAGCCGCGGUAAUACGGAGGGUGCGAGCGUUAAUCGGAAUUACUGGGCGUAAAGCGCGCGUAGGCGGUUGCUUAAGUCGGAUGUGAAAGCCCCGGGCUCAACCUGGGAACUGCAUUCGAUACUGGGCGACUAGAGUACGAGAGAGGGAGGUAGAAUUCCACGUGUAGCGGUGAAAUGCGUAGAUAUGUGGAGGAAUACCGGUGGCGAAGGCGGCCUCCUGGCUCGAUACUGACGCUGAGGUGCGAAAAGCGUGGGGAGCAAAAGCAGGAUUAGAUACCCUGGUAGUCCACGCCGUAAACGAUGUCUACUAGCCGUUGGGGUUACUUGAGACCUUAGUGGCGCAGCUAACGCACUAAGUAGACCGCCUGGGAGUACGG